GAGCAUGCAAAACUUUGCACAGACAGUAACCUGAGCUCAGGACCGAAAUGAGAAUCCUAGAAGUACUCCAGCAACAUGGUCGUAUUUAUGGAAUUCUGGGAUAUUGACUGCAGACCAGCAGGUUUAUGGGCUGUAACAGAUCUUCACAGCUGAGAACUAGAGUGGCACCUGCCAAGGGGUGGGAUCUAUCAGGCAGCAAGUGAAUAGUCAGUUCAUGAAGUUGAUGUGUUGGAAGCAGGAAAAAUGGGCAACUGUGGCUAGACAACUGGGUCAGAGCAUCUCCAAAAUGACAGGUGUAUGUGCUUUAACUUUCACUCGAUUAAAACGUACAAAUUGAUAAAAGUGCAAUAAUUUAAACGUUAUGACAGUGUUUGUGUGAGCCAUUCAGAAUUGUGGGAUUCUUCCAGCUCCUGCUUGACUGAA